rnacentral:rRNA from 1 species
UACAGAGGUCUCAAGCGUUGUUCGGAUUCAUUGGGCGUAAAGGGUGCGUAGGUGGCGCCGUAAGUCGGGUGUGAAAUUUCGGAGCUUAACUCCGAAACUGCAUUCGAUACUGCGGUGCUUGAGGACUGGAGAGGAGACUGGAAUUCAUGGUGUAGCAGUGAAAUGCGUAGAGAUCAUGAGGAAGACCAGUGGCGAAGGCGGGUCUCUGGACAGUUCCUGACACUGAGGCACGAAGGCCAGGGGAGCAAAAGGG